UGCCAUAUAGCCACACUCAGUAAACUAUUGUUUCUCAAUAGCUGUUAGCUGCCUUUUGUUUUUCCUCUGCAUUUACAAACAGAACUUUCUGCCAAUCACAUUUUGAUUUUUGGCCCUUUAAUAGACUGGUGGAGACUGCAUGCAGAGAAAUGCAGAGUAGCAGCUCAGCAGCACACUGCAAACCCAUGAUGGAAGAGCAAACAGACCACAGAGGCCUAGAUUUAAUCCCUUUCUCAUCUGAUUUCCAUCAGUAGUUACCCAGUAUCACUUGCAUUCUCAUCCAAUGUUACACAUUAUGCCAUGGCUAUCUAUUAUUAUGCUUGGUGACUGUAUAUUAGAAGCUGUAACAAUUAACCUACGCAGUUAACCUACAGGUGGUCAUAUUCAACUGAGUAAGUUUUAGAUGUGUUUUCUGCUGCACACCCUUUCUGUUAGCCAUAUACUUCACAUUGCCUUUAACUGCUGCUUAAAUAGAGUCAAGACAUUCCUUUACACACUGUUUUCUAUUUUGGAAAAGCUUUUGAAAAAAGAAUUCCAAGCCUUUGCACAACCUGCAGAUAGAGAGGGAAUCCAUGUCACACCUCUCACCCAGCCUUCCUCUCCAUUCAACAACUCGCAUUACAGUCCUCGCACCCAGAACAGGAAUUCUGACCUGAGCUACCUGGAUCAGAAAAUAAAAGUGCUGGAAAAACUCAGCAAAAUUUUGCAGACAGAUUCACUUAUUGAGAUCAAAAAAUGGCUCACAAGGGCAAGUAAAAAAGAGAAAGACUUCAUAUCCAGUGUGAUUGAUUCAGAACUGAGUGACAAAGGCGUGGUGAAUUCUAAGGAAGAUACAGCAGAGCACAUGAAUAGCCCGAGUCUGCCACAGCUUCCCUCUCCUCUUCAGAGAGGUCCAAAAGAGGAAAUUAAUCAGUCCAGGUAAAAUCUGCAGUAAGCUUGCUAGGAUUAGGGAUAAACUAAACCUCAUAACCAGAAAUUUUUGUUUUCUCCUCCCAUGAAAAGUGCAACUUUGUGAUUCAAGUUUAUCACUCACAGCCUUAAUCAAAAAUGCUCCUAACUACAAACCACCCCACAGUCUUUGAAACCUAAUUAAUUAUUACAGGAACAUCACAAAGUUAUAGGAGCACUUGAAACCGCUCUGAGAAAAACCUUCUAUAUUUUGCAGUGCACAGUUUAUGUCAAUUGUAAUGUUAGACAUUCGUUCUUUUUCACUCAGGUCUUCGUCUAAACAAUCAGUGGCGAGUCGAAACAUGAAACAGGGUAAGUAAUGGAAAUCAUAAAUGUUAAGAGAACAUGUGCCUAGUAUGGUAGUCACCAAACAGCACAAUGACUGUGAACAUUCAGAGGCUCUAACUAUUGUUUUUGCAGCAGGACCCAAAUUAUAACAAUAGAAUUCAGUGACAAUAUGAGAAAUGACAUUAAAAACCUGAAUUUAAAUUCUGUAAGAGCUAGAUAACCAACACCACCUGUUCUUGUGGCUACUCAAUUGGUUUAUCUUGAUAUGACAUUCAUGUAAAUCUUUUCCUAUGUGGUGCAACUCAGACAUAGAGAUGUGUACAACUGCAUCUGCCUCUUCCUAGAAAGAACAAAGGAGCAAGAGGUACCGACUUCAUCUCUUCACUAAAAUCUGUGAAGCUCAAGCUUCUUCUAGUAAUGAACUUUAGGAUUCACCCUAACCUAUCUUACCUCCCUCACUCUUUGCAGGCAAAAUCGGGCUUUCUGACUUUUUCAGCUCCCAAAGCCCACUUUUGAAUACCCAGUCAGGACAAAUCAACAAUAAUGGCACUCCCAAGUAUUACCUCUUUGUGCCCCUUCUGAAGCACACAGAGGCAACAAAAAUCAGUCCCAGGGUAUGUUAUCAUUUUAACAAAGCCAUUCAUGCCAGCUCUAACGCUACCAGCAUUUACUAUUGUUUGUAACUCUACUGGAGGAGUGGGUGAAGAGUAAUCUUACAUUAGAACAAGAAGGAAAAAGAAGCAGCCUCCAAAGCAGCAAUCUCUGCUUUUCAAAAUGGUAUCCAGGGAGGCUUCUUUGCUAAAGGGUGGAUGUGCUUCUACACUUUCAGCUGUGUAUAGAACAAAGCCAAACCAGUCUAACAUAAUCCUACACGUAGCCUGCUUUCUUUUUCAAACUGUUUUCCAGAAAGGGAAAGAAUGUCUUUGCCCUCAGUGCUGAGAACAGGUCAGCCCACGCAAACACAGUUCCCAGGGAAAAACUGCAACUGAGAAAGUGCUAUGGAAACAAGAGGCCAUCCCGCCUUCACACUGUCAGAAGUCUCAUGUGUGCCACAGCCACCCCUCUACAACAGAAAUCACCUUUCCAGUCAUGGCCCCUCUAUUCAGAGCCAUUGAAGCCUCUCCAAGUCAUGUUCACAUACAGAUGUCAUCUUAACAUUUAUUAUAAAGUUA